UGUGGGGUAGUGUAUAAGCACGCAGGUUUUUGGUUCCUGAAGAAAGAGGGUGUCUCUUUCCUGCAA
rnacentral:tRNA from 1 species